CUGGCACUUGAGAUUCCAGUUACCAGGGUGAUUCUUCGGAUACUCGAAACCUCGCUGCUAGUCGUAGCAAUGCAAACAAACAUGGUAUUGACAAAAUUAACAUCACACCAAACAUAAGAACAUACUGUAUAAUAAUGAUCUAUGCGUUGCUACGAGAUCGUGGGAGCGAGAACUACUAAGAUCAGAGUGACGAUUAAGGAGUUAUGAUUUUAUAGAAGAUCUAUGUGAUUCAAAUACUAAACUAUAUUAUAAAUUGGUUAGUGUAAAUCAUAUGAGAGGUUAUUCUCUAAAUAAUUAUCUCAACUUUAAUCUAGUUUUAAAUUGACCAUAAAUUAUAUUCUAGUAGAUUCUAAUGAUAAGCAAUUUAACCAGUCUAACCAACAAAAAUUAAAUAAAGAUCUAAUUAGAAAAAUGAGACAUGCUACAAUAAAUGUUGUUAUUGCAUAGUAAAUAUUUAUACGAGAUUAACGCAACUGGAACGAGUCAAUUCGGAUUUAAAACGAAAGGGUUAUGAAUUUCCUAAGGUUUUAUGUAUUCCAUACAAGAUUAACCAAGAGAUUUAUUUAAUACAAUUUUCAUAUCAAAACAUUGGCACUAUGUGAUGAACAAUAAUGUUACAAAAUUAUAGGAAUUGGAAUGAGUCAAAAAGGAGUUAAAAUGUAUUUUCUAGGAAUUAUACAAGUUCUUGGAAUUAAUUUUGCAAUAAAAAUCAUUUUCUGAAUAAAUUUCUCUGUUUUACUAAGGUCUGGACUGCGCGCGCUAAUAAUAGAUAACUCAGGGUUUAAUAAGCAAAUGUUUCCAAGACUCAGGACCCUCCCGCGAAGGACUGUGGGUUUAUUCCCAAAAUCCUGAGGGGUUCAUACGCAAAAGACGCAUGACGAAGGGGUACAGUUAUAUCCUGGCUGUUGGAUCGCCGAUCUACGGAUCAGAUUAGAUCCAAACUUUCCUGAACGGUACGCUAUAUGGGCCUUUGGAUCUAUAUCUAACGGCCACGACCACAUCGGAUGAAGGGGUAUACUGGAUUUAAUCGUGACCGCACGUUUUUAAUCGAACGCACGACACGCCCGCCAACCGAUGGAUCUCUAUCCUACGGUCCAAACACCAUCUUCAACCCUCCGCUCCUAAUCGCGACGGCAACAGGGACACACGACAGCGCCCAGCCGAAGUCGGCAAGGCCGACACCCAAGCACCCAGUUUCUAAAUCCAAUAGAUCUAAACGGUCUACUCAUGGCCUCUCGUAAAAGGGACGAAGAAAACAUGAAAUCACACGGGAGAAACCCAUACCGACGACGGGUCCGUGGCGGCAACAAUUCCGGCCACGGCGCAGCGCAUGCCAGCCCUUCGAAGCAUGCCCAGGUCUGCCCAACCUCAGCGGCACGACGACGGACCCGUACCGGCAAGGAAACGCCAUGGUCCGAGGCCAUCCAUCCCUACAUCCCGCGCUUGAGGAAGCUCCGCAUAGGGUGUUCUAAAUCUCCCUCCCGGUCGGUGUCGUGAAGGUGUUUUGCG
rnacentral:lncRNA from 1 species